rnacentral:lncRNA from 1 species
CUGACAACUGCUCCGGAGUUUCCACCGGACGGACAAACUCUGGUGCAGUAAUUAGAUAACGCCACAACGAAAUCCGACAGAGGUAGGGGAUGCAGGUGGAGGCUCCACAACAGCAGCCACCAGCCCCACUUGGCUUCCAGUCGGUGAUCCACCUGGCAUGGCUCCAUUUCCUGCUCCAACUGGUGUUAUGACCCCAGCUUCGGGAGAAGGCCACACCUACAAGGUACCAAACCCCCAUUGGACACCGAGAGACAGUGUGCCAGUGGGCUUCUGUUUUUCUUGAUUUUAUGGAUGGUGAUUGUAGCCUGAAUGAUGGUGAGCAAGAGCAGUGCACCAACAACACCCAAGAUGAUCCAGAGCUUGUGGUCUUCAAGGAAUCUGUUGGGAUAAAGUGCCAGGUGCUGUGAACACAGUUAUUUGAGUGAAAGAUGGGAAACACAUAUUUUUCCUGCUCUUUACACAAUUUACACCAGGCUCAAUUGUGUGUGGUAUGGAUAAUUGGCAUCUGGCAUCUGGCUCAUUAUGGUAAGAACAGAUACCAUCUGGCAUCAAUGGGUUAAGUAUAUUAAAAUUUCAGUAAUAUUAACAAUGAUUAAGAGUUUAUACACCUUUGUUACCAGUAAAAUUCAGAUACACUAACAUGAUACACAAGAAUAAAAGGAAACUCACUGGUUCUCCUUCCUGUGAGAAAGGAAGCUAACUAGUAGAGAAUUUGAAACCUAUAAAUCAGAGAACUUGCCCAGUGUCAAUAAAACUUUACAAAAUAUUGACACAUUGCCCAAUAAUAGAGAGAGGAUUCUUGUGCAUUAACCUACCAGCAGCACAAAUAUUUAAGAGUCAAAGACUGGUAGUAGAUUUAGAAGUAUAUUGUAUAAAGGAAUACUUAAAGAAAAUCUAGAAACAAAUUUCUAUCCAAAACACAAUAGCUUUCUACACUGCAUCUGGUACAAAGCUAAACAGGGCAGUUUCACUCACUUGAUGGCUCCAUUGUGGCCAGCUAACCCAGUCACAUUCUCCUCUCUAGUGGCCUCAGAGACCUCUGCCAGGAGAAAAGAUAUAUAUGAGAAAAAAAAGAAAAGAUAUUCAUGGAACUUUUAUAUUUGUUCAUAAAUGAGCAAGUGAAUUUGCUAGGUAGCAAUAAAAUUAAUAUCCUAAAACUCUAGGAAUGGUAACACGUAUUUCAUUUUCAUCCUACAGUAUGUAUGAAACUAAUUUGAAUCUCUCAAACAUCGAUAUCAAAUGUAUAGUGUAUCAUGUAAUCAUGUCUUCCUAUAUCAAUAAAUCCAUGAAUGCACAAAAAUCUCCAACAUCCCUCCUAUACUCAUCCAAAUCUGAAAUAAAUUGCUAAGUAAUCUCAAAA